CCCUUAGAUGUUCUGGGCCGCACGCGUGCUACACUGAGUGGAUCAGCGGGUCAGGUUGCGCGAAAGCGUUUCCUAAUCUUUAAAUCCGCUCGUGAUGGGGAUUGACGGUUGCAAUUUUCUGUCAUGAACGAGGAAUACCUUGUAAGCGCGGGUCAUCAUCCCGCGCUGAAUACGUCCCUGCCCUUUGUACACACCGCCCGUCGCUCCUACCGAUUGAAUGUUCCGGUGAGCUCUUCGGACUGCGCGGUCUGCAGUUUCUGCGUUCCGUGCGGAAAGUUGUGCAAACCUUAACAUUUAGAGGAAGGAGAAGUCGUAACA
rnacentral:rRNA from 1 species